AAGCCCCGGUAGAAGUCAUUUUUUACUCUUUAAAAUUUGCAAUUUUAUGUGCUGUACACCACAAGGCC
rnacentral:tRNA from 1 species